CCUACGGGAGGCAGCAGUAGGGAAUUUUCGUCAAUGGGCGCAAGCCUGAACGAGCGAUGCCGCGUGAGUGAAGAAGGCCUUCGGGUCGUAAAGCUCUGUUGCGGGGGAAAAAAGGCAGCAUCAGGAAAUGGGUGCUGACUGAUGGUGCCCCGCCAGAAAGUCACGGCUAACUACGUGCCAGCAGCCGCGGUAAUACGUAGGUGGCGAGCGUUAUCCGGAAUGGUUGGGCGUAAAGGGUGCGCAGGCGGUCCUGCAAGUCUGGAGUGAAACGCAUGAGCUAAACUCAUGCAUGGAUUUGGAAACUGGAGGACUGGAGAGCAGGAGAGGGCGGUGGAACUCCAUGUGUAGCGGUAAAAGGCGUAGAUAUAUGGAAGAACACCAGUUGCGAAGGCGGCCGCCUGGCCUGUUGCUGACGCUGAGGCACGAAAGCGUGGGGAGCAAAUAGGAUUAGAUACCCGUGUAGUC
rnacentral:rRNA from 1 species